CGUACGGUUGAGUAACGCGUGAGAAUCUGCCCUUUAGUGAGGAAUAUCUCCGAGAAAUCGGAGUUAAUACUGCAUACGUCCUUAUAGCAAUAUAAGGAGAAAGGUGGCCUCUUUGCUACCGCUAAAGGAUGAGCUUGCGUACUAUCAGCUAGUUGGUGAGGUAAUGGCUCACCAAGGCUAUGACGGUUAACCGGCCUGAGAGGGUGUACGGUCAGACUGGAACUGAGAUACGGUCCAGACUCCUACGGGAGGCAGCAGUGGGGAAUUUUCCGCAAUGGGCGAAAGCCUGACGGAGCGACGCCGCGUGUGGGAAGAAGGCCUUCGGGUCGUAAACCACUGUCGAAGGGGACUAUACUGAAGGUACCCUUGGAGGAAGCCCCGGUUACUACGUGCCAGCAGCCGCGGUAAGACGUAGGGGGCAAGGCGUUAUUCGGAUUUAUUGGGCGUAAAGCGCUCGUAGGCGGGAGGUCAAGUCCGUGAAGAAAGACCUGGGCUCAACUCAGGGAACGGGACGGAUACUGGGUUCUUGAGGCAUUCAGAGGGGUGGAUGGGAAUUCCCGGGUGUAGCGGGUGAAUGCGUUAGAUUUAGGGAAGGGGACCCCCAGUG
rnacentral:rRNA from 1 species